rnacentral:tRNA from 1 species
GCGGAUAUAGUUUAGCGGUAGAAUUUCUGGCUUCCAACCAGAGGGCGUGGGUUCGAUUCCCACUAUCCGCU